GAGCACUGUUCGUGACCUGCUGGUCUGCCUGUGGCUGGCGGGUUCCAUUCCAGUGCCACAGCAGUUCCAGCGCCAUGCAACUGACUGCCUGGUGGCUCUCGGUUUCUGGUCUAGGAGACAAAG